CAUUUAUUUUUCCCAUCUCUUCUUGCUAGCAACGCCUCCAGUCAGGACGCUUUCGGCGGGUUCCGUUAAAAUGGCUGUUACUGAGAGUGGAAACCCAAAGCAAGAACAAUCGUAGUGGGUACAACUGCACCCAGUAGUAUCGCUGGUGUUUCAUAAGGAAAAUAAAAGACUGCAACGCAAUGGCUGCCCUAGAUCAAAAGUCCCCCAACGUCCUCCUUCAAAGUCUCUGCUGCAGGAUCACUGGGAAGAGCGAAGCUGAAGUAGCCCACCAGUUCCAGUAUGCUGUGAGAGUCGUCGGGAGUAACUAUGCUCCCACCAUUGAGAGGGAUGAGUUCCUAGUGUCAGAGAAGAUCAAAAAAGAACUGCUGAAGCAGAGGAGAGAGAGUGACGCAGCCCG